GGGGAGCGUUCUGUAGGCUGAUGAAGGUGCAUUGAGAAGUGUGCUGGAGGUAUCAGAAGUGCGAAUGCUGACAUGAGUAACGAUAAUGUGGGUGAAAAGCCCACACGCCGGAAGUCCCAGGUUUCCUGCACGACGUUAAUCGGAGCAGGGUGAGUCGGCCCCUAAGGCGAGGCUGAAGAGCGUAGUCGAUGGGAACCAGGUUAAUAUUCCUGGACUUUUUAUAAGUGGUGAAGUGGGGACGAAGAAGGCUAGGUGAGCCAGGCGUUGGUUGUCCUGGUACUUGCAUGUAGGGGGGAAGACUUGGCAAAUCCGGUUUUCCAUAACUCUGAGGUGCGAAGUGGUUCUGACCUUUUGGUACAGAGAAGUCAUUGAUGCCCGGCUUCCAGGAAAAGCUGCUAGCCAUAACUUAUAGAGAACCGUACCGCAAACCGACACAGGUGGACAGGUAGAGAAUACUAAGGCGCUUGAGAGAACUCGGGUGAAGGAACUAGGCAAAAUGGUACCGUAACUUCGGGAGAAGGUACGCCCUUUUGGGUGAGGGCAUUUACUGUCUGAGCUUAAGAGGGCCGCAGAGACCAGGUGGCUGCGACUGUUUAUUAAAAACACAGCACUCUGCAAAUUCGUAAGAAGACGUAUAGGGUGUGACGCCUGCCCGGUGCCGGAAGGUUAAUUGAUGGGGUUAUCUUCGGAGAAGCUCUUGAUCGAAGCCCCGGUAAACGGCGGCCGUAACUAUAACGGUCCUAAGGUAGCGAAAUUCCUUGUCGGGUAAGUUCCGACCUGCACGAAUGGCGUAACGAUGGCCACACUGUCUCCACCCGAGACUCAGUGAAAUUGAAAUCGCUGUGAAGAUGCAGUGUACCCGCGGCUAGACGGAAAGACCCCGUGAACCUUUACUAUAGUUUUGCACUGGACUUUGAUGAUGACUGUGUAGGAUAGGUGGGAGGCUGUGAAGUGAGGACGCUAGUUCUCAUGGAGCCGCCCUUGAAAUACCACCCUGUUGUUAUUGAGGUUCUAACUUGGUCCAGUAAUCCUGGAUGAGGACAGUGUAUGAUGGGUAGUUUGACUGGGGCGGUCUCCUCCCAAAGAGUAACGGAGGAGCACAAAGGUACCCUCGGUACGGUCGGACAUCGUACCAAGAGUGUAAAGGCAAAAGGGUGCUUGACUGCGAGAGUGACGGCUCGAGCAGGAACGAAAGUUGGUCUUAGUGAUCCGGUGGUUCUGAAUGGAAGGGCCAUCGCUCAACGGAUAAAAGGUACUCCGGGGAUAACAGGCUGAUACCGCCCAAGAGUUCAUAUCGACGGCGGUGUUUGGCACCUCGAUGUCGGCUCAUCACAUCCUGGGGCUGAAGCAGGUCCCAAGGGUAUGGCUGUUCGCCAUUUAAAGUGGUACGCGAGCUGGGUUUAGAACGUCGUGAGACAGUUCGGUCCCUAUCUGCCGUGGGCGUAGGAAAAUUGAGAGGAGCUGCUCCUAGUACGAGAGGACCGGAGUGGACGAACCUCUGGUGCACCGGUUGUCACGCCAGUGGCAUGGCCGGGUAGCUAAGUUCGGACGGGAUAACCGCUGAAAGCAUCUAAGCGGGAAGCCUCCCUCAAGAUGAGUUUUCCCAUGAAGCCCGUUGAAGACUACGACGUUGAUAGGCAAGGUGUGGAAGCGCAGUAAUGCGUGAAGCUAACUUGUACUAAUUGGCUGAUUGUCUUGACCAUAUAAUCUGAG
rnacentral:rRNA from 1 species